UUUUUUUUCUGCAACUGAGUCCAACUGAGUCCCUGUUUCCUACUCAUUUCUUGAAUGACCUCAUUUUCUCUGUUGUCCGUGAAGUUACCAUCUCUGAUUGUAACUCUCAAAUCUGUAUCGCAGAUUUCUCUUUUGAGCUUGGAUAACUUUGAAUUUGAUGUUAAACUUUUGCAAACCUAUUCCAGGUUAAGCUCAGGUGAUUGAUUUAUGAUAUUCUAGCCAUAUAAAAAUAGGAUAUUGUGAUAUUUGAAUUGUGGGUCCAGAUUUGUCAGUAUUUACCAGGGUGAGAAUCCUUCAUCCAAAGUGCUUGUAAUGAGAAGUGUUUCAGAUUUCAAAAUAUUUUUAUGUACUUAAUAUGAGAUAUCUUGGGGAAUGGAACCCAAAUCUAAGUACAAAAUUCACUUAUGUUUCAUAUAUACCUUAAACAUGUAAUCUGAUGCUACUUCUAUACAAUAUUUUAAGGCUUUUUCACAUGAAACAAAGUUUCUUAGUGUGGAAUUUUGCACAUGUAGUGGUGGUUGGUGUACAAAAUGUUGUGGAUAUCAGGUCAUUUCUGAUUUUGAAUUUUUGGGUUAAGGACUUUCAACCUGUAUCUUCAGGAGAAUUUCACUUGAGUUUCUCAAAUAAACAUCAAAUAUGAUGUGUUUCAAAAAUCUGUCAUCCUCCUUUCCAGUUGUGCUUUUUUUUUUCCUAUGAUGUGUUGCAGGGAGGGGCAGGCUCCAAUUGCCAUCUUUAUGUCUAAUUCUGGACAUUUCUUCCUCCAUUCCCAUAUACAAAAUUAGUUGAUUAUCCAAAUGCUGUGGAUAUUGUCUCUAAAUAUCCCUCAAAUUAUCCAAAUUCUCCCAAUGCACACAAAAUCUUUCCUCCUCUUUGCAUCUUUCUCACUUGAGUUACUAAUUAAUCCAAAUGAUUCCUCUAUAUUCAGAGAAAUUAUCUCACUCUAAUCCUAUCUCUACCUUGAAGCCAGACUAGUUAUUUCUCAACCCUCAAUCUAUGAAACACUCAACUUAAAACUUUUCAGUGACUCUACAUUAUCUUCAGAAUACAGAACAAGCUGUUAACAUGUCUUACAAAUGUUUCAUGAUUUGUCCCCUGAAUCCUACCCCAAUCUCUGCCUUCUAGCCCUACUUCCAAAUCCUCAACAUGCCAGGCUCCCUCUCAUUUCUGGGACUUCCCAUAUGCUGUUUCCUCUGUCUGAA
rnacentral:lncRNA from 1 species